UUGCUGAAGAGUCCCACAAUAGGACGAAACAGCUGUCCAG
rnacentral:hammerhead_ribozyme from 1 species